ensembl:lncRNA
CUGUGGAUCUCUGGCUGUUAAAACACACCACAUGGAAACACUACUUCCUGUGAUUUGUAAACCAUGCUUCUUGUCUGAAACAUAAGAAAGGAGUAACUUGUAGAGGCAGCAGCAAGGACACAGGAUGGGAUUGAGGCUGCAGUGGUGGGGACUGGAUGUAUUGAUUUCCAACUGUAGUAUUUCACAUACAUGAAUUUAACCUCUUCAGGAAGCCUGACAGGCUGAAUCUCAUGCUCCUUGCCUAAACAACCAUGAAAGGAGUUGGACCUCUUCUGUGAAAAGAAGUUUGCUUCAAAGAUUUCAUCAAAAACGAUUUUGAGUGCCGCAGUUCAUUGUAGUCACC